rnacentral:tRNA from 1 species
GUGUAGCUCAGUGGUAGAGCACUUAUCUAGUAUGCAUGAGGCCCUGGGUUCCAUCCCCAACAC